rnacentral:rRNA from 1 species
UACGAAGGGGGCUAGCGUUGCUCGGAAUUACUGGGCGUAAAGCGCACGUAGGCGGCUUUCUAAGUCGGGGGUGAAAUCCUGGAGCUCAACUCCAGAACUGCCUUCGAUACUGGAAAGCUCGAGUCCGGGAGAGGUGAGUGGAACUGCGAGUGUAGAGGUGAAAUUCGUAGAUAUCGGGAGGAACACCAGUGGCGAAGGCGACUACCUGGCCUGUUCUUGACGCUGAGGCGCGAAAGCUAGGGGAGCAAACGGG